GUUGCUGGGAUGCUAAAGGGGCAGGACCGGGGGAGGCAGGGCGUUGCUGGGGGCGUUUCCGUGGCAUUACCGGGGGUGCUGGAGGGGCAGGACCCGGGAGAGGCAGGGGGUUGCUGGUGGGCGUUACCAUGGCGUUGCUGGGGGCACUGUAGGGGCAGGACCCAGGGGAGGCCAGGGGUAGGCCGGUGGUGUUACUGUGGUGCUGCCGGAGGGCAUUACCGUGGCAUUGCCGGGGGGCGUUACCGUGGCGUUGCCAGGGACGCUUUUGGAGCAGGACCCAGGGGAGGCGAGGCGUUGCCAGGGGUCGUUACCGUGGCGUUGCCGGGGGCGCUGUAGGGGCAGGACCCAGGGGAGGCAGGGCGUUGCCAGGGGGCGUUACCAUGGCGUUGCCAGAGGCGCUGUAGGGGCAGGACCCGGGGGAGGCGAGGCGUUGCCGGGGCAUUACCGUGGCGUUGCCAGGGGCGCUGUAGGGGCAGGACCUGG